rnacentral:rRNA from 1 species
UACGGAGGGUGCAAGCGUUAUCCGGAUUCACUGGGCUUAAAGGGUGCGUAGGCGGCCUGUUAAGUCAGUGGUGAAAUCUUUCAGCUCAACUGGAAUUGUGCCAUUGAUACUGAUGGGCUUGAGUACAGAUGAGGUAGGCGGAAUUGACGGUGUAGCGGUGAAAUGCUUAGAUAUCGUCAAGAACACCUAUAGCGAAGGCAGCUUACUAGUCGGUAACUGACGCUGAGGCACGAAAGUGUGGGGAUCAAACAGG